GGUACAAAGAACUGUAAAUUUGGGUGAAAGUGCUGAAGAUCUAUGGACAUGUAGUGCUGCAUAUACUGAAUUACUGCUGAAUUAAAGCCGCAUAAUUGCUGAAUCUGCAUGGUUGGCAUGGCAUGUACUACUGCUGCGUAUACUGAAAUUUGAUGUUGUUUGUAUAUAUUGCUGGUACUGAUUUGCUUUUACUGGAUUUCAACUUGUUGUAUAUUUUUCAUACAGAUGAGGAUGACGAUGAAUUCAUGAGCAUAUCCGAAGAAGAAAUGUUUCCAUUCAUUAUUUUGUGUGGGAGAGAACAGGGAAAUUUGGGAGAGAGAUUAGAGGAGACACAGCCAGGAAUUAAAGCAUAGUUGUUGGGUGGUAGUAAUAAGAUAUUAUUAAAAUAUAGGAGAGAGAACAUAGAUGUCUUGAAUAUAGACCAUAUCCACUGAAAAACUGGGAAGAUAUAAAAAAGAAUAUUUUUUAGACCAUUAUCUAUAUGAACAUAUAGACAACCAAAUUUAGACCAUCCACUAGAGAUGCUCUUAUGUGGCCACUCGCCAGAAUCGGAGAUCCUGGGGUGAAAGAUAGGAGCAGAUCCAUGAGGGGGCGUGUCUCUCCGGCGUGUACCCUAAAGUUUGGGGGUCACCUCGCCUUCAUCUACAGAAUAUGAAGCCACCCCCAUUGCAUCCAGUGCGGCCAUAUCAAGAGAACUUUAGGUUACCACACCUAGAUUUAUGUAUUGGUGGGGCGGUGAAGGUUGGAUGCUGAUGUGAUCUGAAACAUUCUACUGCAUCUCACAUUCCGAUGAUUGGGAUUGGUUGUUCUUCUGGUCACAAGAUGGGGCCAAAGAGUUGUUUCUCGAUAGUGACGUGAACCUAUCAUACUACAAAAUACAAAUGGUUUGAUGCAUUUUUUU